UACGAAGGGGGCUAGCGUUGCUCGGAAUCACUGGGCGUAAAGGGUGCGUAGGCGGGUCUUUAAGUCAGGGGUGAAAUCCUGGAGCUCAACUCCAGAACUGCCUUUGAUACUGAAGAUCUUGAGUUCGGGAGAGGUGAGUGGAACUGCGAGUAUAGAGGUGAAAUUCGUAGAUAUUCGCAAGAACACCAGUGGCGAAGGCGGCUCACUGGCCCGAUACUGACGCUCAUGUGCGAAAGCGUGGGGAGCAAACAGG
rnacentral:rRNA from 1 species